GUUCUGCGUGAGUGCAGAGAGUUUAUUAGAAAUGUUCUGUUAAGCAACGAGGUGUCAUCUCAAUGUGCCUGCGAGCUGGGAUACAGUAUCUCUGCUCGUGGGAAGGGUCGUGUAUCUGAAUUCUUAUGCCAAGCAAAUAAUUUGUCAUUAAUUAGCACGAUGCACUCUGUACUUGGCAGAAAAAUAUCACUUUGAUCACUGAAUUUUGGAAAGUAAAACUGACGGCCACCGAGCUUGGUCUCUUGGCUAAGUAUGCUACAUAGUCACUGUGCAUGUAGAAAUGCAACGGUGAGCGGUUUUUGCACUUUAUCCCUGAGGUUCUUCAGUUCCCCAUACACUUGUCUAGUUGUCUGAGAGUGAGGGAGGGAUGAGGGGAGCAGAGAAAGGACACGACCACUGCGGCGGUGAUUGUCGGCAUGUAGGCAGCCCACGUGUACGGUCAACUGUAGUCGAUAUAUCCUAUGUCAUCAGAAUACGGCCUGAUACGCCUGCAGUGACCGUAUGUGGGGCAUUUCGCCAAGCUUAAUGGCCGUCAUUUUCGCUUUCCAAAAUGCAGUGACCAAAGCGAGUUUUUUCGCCAAGUACAGUGACAUAUCUAGGAAGCCAAUCCAUGGUGCCAACUUCAUUUCACUUUGUAGUACUCUCAAUGAAGGAUUCAACACCAGAGCGUACCCUUAUUCCCGCCCAAUUUCCACCAGUAGGGGAGGUCCUGUAUCGUAUUCAUCCAUGGAUCAAUCCAAAAGCAAGCAAGGACCAGAUCACCUCCUCAUUUUGGUUCAUGGAAUCAUGGCAAGCCCCAGUGACUGGACAUAUGGGGAAGCAGUGUUGAAAAGGCAGCUAGGUGGUAAAUUCUUCAUCCAUGCUAGUUCAUCAAACAUCUACACGAAAUCUUUUGAUGGGAUUGAUGUAGCUGGAAGAAGGUUAGCGAACGAAGUCUUGGAUGUGGUUCAGAAGAUGGCAGGCUUGAGAAAGAUUUCCUUCAUAGCACAUUCUUUGGGUGGUUUGUUUGCUAGAUAUGCUAUUUCUAUACUAUAUUCACUGCAAACAAAGGAAACGGGUCUAGGUAGUGCUUAUGUCAUGCCUACAGUUGGAGGAUCUGAAAUACCACAACACACUUCAGGAUUAGGUGCAAUUGCUGGGUUGGAGCCAAUUAAUUUUAUUACAUUGGCAACCCCACAUCUUGGUGUUAGAGGAAAAAAUCAGCUUCCAUUUCUUCAAGGGCUAUCAUUCCUAGAAAAGCUCGCUGCACCGUUGGCUCCCUUCAUUGUCGGACGCACUGGUGGUCAACUCUUUCUCACUGAUGGUGAACCUAGCAAGCCACCUCUUCUUCUAUUAAUGACAUCUGAUCACGAGGACAAAAAGUUUAUAUCUGCACUAGCAGCUUUCAAGAACCGUGUUCUGUAUGCUAAUGUUUCAUAUGACCAUAUGGUCGGUUGGCGAACAUCUUCAAUAAGGAGAGAACUGGACCUUAAAACGCCCUUGCAUCGUUCUGUUGAUGGCUACAAGUACAUUGUGAAUGUGGAAUACUGUUCGGCUGUAUCGUCCGAUGGUCCCCAUUUUCCUUCGCGAGCCGCCAGAGCUAAGGAGGCUGCACAAAGUACGCCGAACAUCGAAAAUACCGAGGAAUAUCACGAAAUGAUGGAAGAGGAGAUGAUUCAUGGCUUGCAAAGAGUGGGUUGGAAGAAAGUAGAUGUCAACUUCCAUGCAUCACUAUGGCCUUACUCUGCUCACAACAGCAUACAUGUUAAAAACGAGUGGCUCCACAAUGCUGGUGCCGGCGUUAUUGCCCAUCUCGCCAACAGCAUAAAACAAUCAUGUUUUCAUGCCAACCUGUAAGAUUUGCACUCGGUAUGCUGACAUUCGCCAUAGUUGGUAAUCAGUAAGAUCGUGAGCAACUAGUUGCCAUCGUUUAAAGAUCUACAGGAGUUAGCGGUACACUUGAUUGCAGACGUCCAGAACUGUUUGGUACUGCAAGGAGCCAGCUGCCGGCACGAUUGAAGAUGGGAAGAAACAACGGUUAAGAGUUGGGCUCAUGGUAUUUUUGUUCGCAUGAUUGCCUCAACUUGUGUGUGAGGCAAAUAUUGUCAGAUACUCAUAAUACGGCCUGGGGCCGUUGUCAUCUGUUCAUACAGAGCUUCAAGUUACUGGAUAUGGUACAUACCAUGAAUGCUAAGAUUGAUAAGGGGUCUUGCUGGUAAUGCAUUACCGAUAUAUUAUCUCUA